AUGGAUUUCAAGUUCUGGAGGACUGCUACCCUGAGAUCCUCCAGGGAAAGGCGAAAGGCCUCCAUACUGGUACUUCCCUCCUUUGGCUGUGAUGUUGGUGCCAGAACUGUUGAAGCAUCUCUGGUCUCCGUUCCUUUCCUUUGUAGUUUCCCUGUGGCACAGCAUGAAAGCUAUUUGAGAUACAAUAUGAAUACUUUGGAUGACUAAAUGAAAUUAUUCCCACUAGAUAAUGGGAUCAUGAUGGGCUUUAUUGUACCACAUUCACUUUAAGCUGGGUCAAGUGGGAGCUUUGCAUUAGAUUAGGGGUCCCCAAACUUGGCAAAUUUAAGACUUGUGGACUUCAACUCCCAGAAUUCUCCAGCCAGCUAUGCUAGCUUCUGGGAGUUGAAGUCCACAAGUCUGGAGACCUCUGCAUUAGAUAGAGGCAAGUUUGCCAAGUUUGGAGACCUCUGCAUUAGAGGCAAAAUGCAUCUCUAAGGCAUUUGGCACAUGGCCUGUCUGGUAGCCCUCAGUGGCAGAGGUUUUGAGAUGCUGGCUUACCAUGUCGUCUGGGACUAUCCAGUUCCUCUAGUGCCAUAGCAGAAGUGGAUGGCCUGGGAUCUUCCAAAGAGGUGUUUGGAUGAGAAGACACAGAAUUAGGAAGAGAGGAACAACCUUCCCUCAUUGUGUAGCCCUGAACAGAUAUACAAAUAUCAGCAAGAACAUGCAUACAACACUUGCCCACAAAGGUCACUCACUGCUUCACUAAAUUGGAAGCAUGGUGCAUGCAGCACCAACUUUGGAGUCAUGGGAUACUUCUGAGUGUUUUGGGGUAACAAUGGCAGAAUUAAUAGAUCUCAACAUGGAGUCACAGCUAUACUUACAAGCAGGUUCUUCUUCCUUUGCUGACUUUUGCCGGGAUCUUUGUGGCUACUUCAAGCGAAGACAGUGACAACAUAAAGAUCUUCACUGUUACCAGCUUCCUAACCUGACAUUGACACCCUGUGAAUUACCAAGAGAGAGACAAUGGAGCUAUCUCAGUAAUGAGUAAGCAGGAAGAGAAAGUGGGAAUGAAUGCAAGAACCAUGGAAAGUUGUCCUUUUUCAAGAUGAAAGUGCCCAGUUAUUGCAGCAGCCUGCUUGCUUCAACAUGUCAUGCACUACAACUGGUGCUUAGUGGAAGUGACAGUACACUAGAAAAGAGAAAGAAGAGUCGAUAGCUUGGCUUGCAUCUCUGCCAUACCCCUUACCACUUAAAAAAGACCUAGAAAAAAAUGUCUUGCCAAUGAUUGGAUGCAGUCUGCAUCAUCAUCAUCUUACACUUACCAAAUUCUUGCAAAAAUGCCAACUCACAAUUGCAGUACAAUUUCAUUUACUUCUUUUGCAAUGGGCAAAUAAAUACCCCUGGGACACUCAGGCUGGGAAUCCCUGAAGCAUUUAAUUACUGAAGUAAUUAAAUAUUAUGGUAAUAAGUACCAGAGAGUGUUGGUGGGGAAGGUUCCUUGGAUUUUCUUAUUGGAAGAAUUGGAAGAAGUUGUAAGAGCAUGCUUUGAGGUCUACAAUAGCUGAAUCUUAAGGUUAAGCUAAGAACCGAAUUAAAUUCAAACAAACUAUUACAGUUUAAUAUAUGGAUUUGUACCCAUUUAAAAUUUAGGUUCCUAUAUGUAGAGUCCAUAUUUUAGAUGCUUAGGCUUCAUUUAAUCCAGCAGAGAAAUCUCAUUUGUUGAUUUAUAAUAUGUUGAUCAUAGUUCUUGAUAUUAAUGUUUAGCUUAGACCAAGGAUCUUCAAACUUGGCAAGUUUAAGACUUGUGGACUUCAACUCCCAGAAACCCUGAGCUAACAUGACUGGAGGAGGAAUUCUGGGAGUUGAAGUCCAUAAGUCUUAAAGCUGUCAAGUUUGAAGACCCCUGGCUUAGACUGUAGCAAUGUUUAAUCUUCUGAACAAUAUAAUCAACAACUAUAACUAC
ensembl:lncRNA